rnacentral:ribozyme from 1 species
AAGAAUCGAAGCUGUUUCGUCGUAUCUUCGCUCUCACUAUCUAUGCCAGCUUUCAGCAUUGAAUGAAGAAGGUUUUAAAUUAAAUGAAGAAUUUGGAAGUAUUCAGCUUGAUUGUGUCAAAGCUGCUGAUCUAUUGCAGUCAAGAACUCGCAGUCGUGGGGUGGGUAAGG